rnacentral:rRNA from 1 species
UACGUAGGGGGCGAGCGUUGUCCGGAUUUAUUGGGCGUAAAGAGCUCGUAGGCGGUUCGAUAAGUCGGACGAGAAAUCUCCCACGCUCAACGUGGGAGGGCCGUUCGAUACUGUCGUGACUCGAGUCCGGUAGGGGAGUGUGGAAUUCCAGGUGUAGCGGUGAAAUGCGUAGAGAUCGGAAGGAACACCAGUGGCGAAGGCGACUUCCUGGACUGAUACUGACACUGAGGCGCGAAAGCGUGGGGAGCAAACAGG